CUAUUACUCACAGUAAGUGGAUGCACAACCAUUUUAUGGGUGUAAGGAUCAUGAUCAAGCAGUUGGGCUCAUUCCUUCCGACAGUGAGGACAGUGAGCUUGCGGAGAGUGACAGUGAGGAAGAGUGGACUCCAGAAUUAGGUUUGAGGGAGCUUCAGGAGAUCAGGAUUCAGGCAAUGACCUGCCUGAUGACCAUGAGUAUGUGGAUGAAGAGGAAAAUAAAAUGAAGUAUCACAGGGAGAUGUUCCAUGCUUACCCCAUUUGGCAGGCCAGCCUUCCAAAGUCAGACAAUCAAUCAAGUCCCCCUAUGAAUACUUAAACAUGUUGACAUUCUGGAAGAAGUUGUAGAGCAGUCAAAUUUAAAUGCCAUUCAGUGUGACCAACAAGCCCCUUAACCUCACUACUAAAAAAACUGGAGCAAUUCAUGGGUACAGCAGUGUACAUGUCAUGGUUUGGAUUACCAGGCACCCGCAUGUUUUGGAACAAAGCCACCCCAGUGUCCCAGGUAGCUGACACUAUGGCACUAAACGGAUGGGAGUUCAUCAAAAAAAUUCCUGGACUUUGACAACAAUGAAGUGAGACAAGGAGAAAAUGUUGAUCCACUCCACAAAAUCUGACCACUGGCUACUCAUCUUACCUCGAAGCUGCAGACGAUCCCACUGGGUGAGAAGUUGGCUGAAGACGAGCAGAUGGUCCCUUUCAAGGGAAGAAAUAGACUCAAGCAAUACCUGCCAGCAAAACCAGGUACAAGAUACUCAUCUUGGCUGGCUCUGAUGGUGUCCCGCACAAUUUUAAGAUUUACACAGGGAGAGUUGUGCAACCGCCUGAGCUGCCAGAGGUAGGAGCAAGUGUAACGUUGUCCUCCGCCUGGCCCAGCCAAUACCCAAACAGCAGAACUAAAAGGUGUUCUUUGACAACUGGUUCAUGAGUGUCCCUCUCAUACUCACACUUGUUGAGCAGGGAAUUUCCUGUUCCUGGUCGUAGCAACAGACUACCAGGCGUCAACUUGUGAUGCUGAGUUGAAGAGAACUGGACGUGGAUCUUUUGAACAGAAGACGGCCAUGGUUGAAGUGGUAUGAUAACGGUUCAGUCAGUCUUCUCAGUAAUUACAUCGGAGCACACCCGGUCACCAACGUUGAUAGGUGGGAUGGCAAGCAAAAAAAUAAAUAAAUCAAAGUUCCCUGUCCUGUUGUGGUGAGAUAGUACAAUAAGAAUAUGGGUAGAGUGCAUCUGCUGGACUCUCUCAUUGCACUGUACCACAACAAAAUCAAGUCGAAGAGGUGGUACCACCGGCUGAUGUUCCACUUUAUCGACAUGACCACCCUGACUGCCUGGCUGCUCUACAAGAGAGACUGCAGCAGCACUGGGAUGAGAAAAGAGGAAUUUAUACGUUCAAGUCGUAUAUUGCAGAAAGCUUGUGCAAAAGUGGCAAGAAUCUGGAGCGUGAGAGAGGUCGUCCCAGUUCCACAAUUGCUGGGGAGUACGAAGAAAAGAGGAGAGGACCACCCAGUACACCUAUUCCGGUCCCUGAUGUGCGUCUGGAUGCCACAGCCCACUAGAUGGUCAUGGAUGAAAAGAAAGGGAGAUGCAAGGUACCAGGAUGCAAAGGUACACCUAAGGCAAAGUGCCAAAAACAUAUUAUCUGACUGAUAUAUUAUAAGGACCCCCCCGCUCUCAAAACUAGAGUGAAAUAUUUUUUUCCUCAUAAAAUAAAAUGUCAUGCCAUAGAGGGUUGGACCACUGGAUGGAGACAAAGCACCCUGUUUAAAUUAAGGUUCCAUUCACACUGUAAUUGGCAACAAGCCUGACAUUACACUCAGUCUGCUGCUUUUACCCUCCCAUCUUUGUAUAUUUCUUCUCUUGCUCUUUGCCCUCCUAAUUGUCCCUCCUUGAAGGUAUAUAAAGUUUAUUCAGAUUCGGAUUCUAUCAGUUCAGUCACCAUGUGGUUCAUAGUUGAUGUUGCAAUAUGACAACCUGUUUUUCAUGCCACGUUUCCAUGAGGAUGUGCUUCCAUGACAUUCUAAUGUGAUGUGUUUACAUGGCGAUGCGUUUCCAUGAUGAUGUAUUUCAAUGAUGACGUGUACUCAUGACAUUCUAAUAUGAAGACAUGUUUCCAUAAUGACGUGUUAGAUGCGUUUUCAUGACGUUCUAAUGUGACGACAUGUUUCCAUAAUGACGUGUUAGAUGCGUUUUCAUGACGUUCUAAUGUGACGACAUGUUUCCAUAAGGAUGUGUAUUCAUGACAUAUUAAUGUGAUGUAAAAUGUGACACGUUUCUAUGACGACAUGUUUUCAUGGUUUUCUAAUAUGACGUGUUUUCAGGACAAAAUAUUAACGUUAUAUUACAGUAUGGGUCCAGAAACAGGGUCAGUCUAGAUGUUGAAACGAGGUUAUAUGUUAGUUUAAGUUUGUAAACUGUAAUAUAAAUUAAGAUUGAGGAACCAGAAUGUGAAUAUGUGUUGUAAAAUAUUAUUACACAUUCUGUACGUAUAGCACAUACAUUAUUUUACAUGUCUAUUUGUCUGUGUGAGAUGAAGAACUGGACUAUCAGCACUUCUCAUCUGGACAGAGAACACUUUGAAAGUCAUCACUACAUCACUGAUUUUUAUUGUAGCCCAGACGUGAAAUGUGACCCAUAACUUGUAACAGAACUCUAAUUUAUAUAUAUUCAUUUUAAUUAAAGACAUUAACCUCUAAAUCAUAACUCUAUUUAAUGUAUUAUAUAUUAUAUUUUAGUCGGGAUAAAUGGAAUCAAACCAGGAGCAAGGCCACCGUGUUAGCCAGCUGCUAGCAUCUCGGAUAGCGAUUAGCCUAGCUCGGCAGCCUGAGCUAACCGGUAGUGCCGGUAGAGUUGUGUGGGCAUCUUUCAACAUUCAGGCUGCUUUAGCUCUGCCCUAACACGACCCCCAUAUCCAUAUUUUCAGUAUCUGAGUGUAGGCGGAGUAAAGCUCAUCCAAAAUGGUGACUGCAGGCUCUGCCCGGCUCCGCCCACUUUGGGCUUUAUUUUCGAGAUUCAGAAUCCAACGAUUGAUUGUAUAUACUAUGGACAAACCCAUUGUGACAUAUUUUGAUGACACUAAGGCAAAUGUUUUGGUGAUUUUUUUUUUUGUUUUGUUUGUUACUCUUAUACAUUGUCAAUGUUGUAUGUAUUGCCUUCUUUCGCUGUGCUACCUCUGGAUGUGAAGAAUCGGAGCCAAAUAGAGUCUAAAUGCCUCUCUGGCAGAAAGUGAAGCCUGCAAGUCACAAUAAUGGCUCAGUCUUCAUUUGUUCUGACUAGCCCCCCUGUAACUUAUGUCCCUGUGUCAGUCGUUUUUUUUUUUUUUUUUUUUCGU